GGACUCUUAGCUCAAUUGGUAGAGCGUACCCUUGACGUGGGUAAGGUAACAGGUUCGAAGCCUGUAGGGUCCA
rnacentral:tRNA from 1 species